ensembl:rRNA 5S_rRNA 5S ribosomal RNA
GUCUACAGCCAUAUGACCCUGGUCACGCCUGAUCUCGUCUGAUCUCAGAAGCUAAGCAGGGUUAAGUCUGGUUAGUAUUUGGAUGGGAUAUUAAAAUCCUGUGAACUGUUGGUG